GUUGGGAACUGACCCAAUAGGCAAUGGGAGCCAUUUUUGAUUUCCAAGUAGGGGAAAGAUGAUGCUAACUAGCAGUUUGAGGAGACACACCCAGCCGCACUAUGUAGGGCCAUCUGGAGAAAGGAAAAUCCCCAGUCAGAAAAGUCAACCUUCUUCUUUACAAGGCUGCGUUGGCUUGAGAAUCAUCGCUCCAUGAAGAUCCUGCUCUACUUUACUGGCUCCAAAAUGAAUCUAAGCCAUCUGGGCACUCAGCCACUGUCAUCACUUUCUCACCUUUAAGAUCACCAAUAUCAGUGUCACGGUGACACAGUAUUGAGAAAGCAUAAAAUAAAAAAGCCUUUGUAGAACUCAUUUAAAUUCUCAACUUUUUAAAAACAAAUUCUUAGUUAUUUUACCCAUUGAAAUCUUUUGCCUCAACUCUGCAAAGUGUCGACUAGUUCUCUUUAUAAAACUCCAGACAGAGAAUAGAGGCUUUUCUACAUGAAAAAAAAAAAACGCACCUCGAUGUCUGUGGACCUCAGACUCCUCAUCUUUAAAAUGAUGGGAUUGGACGAGAUAAUCAAGUCCCAUCUAGUUCUUUGACUCUGUGACUCAUUUCUACAAUUUAUUUACUCCCUAAUCUGUGAGAACCAAUCCCAAACAAUGCAUCUUUGGUAUUGUUUUUAACAAAACAUAUUUACCCGUGAGACAUGAUACAUUUUUUAAUAAGUUUUUAAAAAGUGUUGCGUCUUUCUAACAAAG
rnacentral:lncRNA from 1 species